GAUUUCUGGCACGACGUACCUGUCCCGCUGCGGUCAACGCAUGUGAGUGACGGAGUAUGUUUGCCAUCCUUCUAGAGAGCGCAAGCUAUCCUUUACUGGACCGGCUUGUGUCAUCUAGAUCUUUUACUUUGAAAAAAUUAGAGUGUUUCAAGCAGGCGUUUUGCUAUGAAUACAUUAGCAUGGAAUAAUGAGUUAGGACUUCGGUUCUAUUUUGUUGGUUUCUAGGACUGAAGUAAUGAUUGAUAGGGAUAGUUGGGGGUGCUAGUAUUCAGCGGCCAGAGGUGAAAUUCUUGGAUUCGCUGAAGACUAACUUAUGCGAAAGCAUU
rnacentral:rRNA from 1 species